UCAACACAGAGCUUGCAUCGCGUGACGGGCAGCAGGUACCGGGGUACGUGAAACUUUUUAGCGGCGCGGGAAGGAAACUGUUGCGGACUCCAUUCGACGGUGCAUUGACAUCUCUCCACGCCGCCGCUAACCGGCCUAUGACGAUAAGACUGCCCUCUUCUUUGACAGCUCAAAGCCCAAAAGUGUUAAUGCCAUGGCAAGUAACAAGGAAAAGCAAGAGAUUCUGUGGAAAUAUUCCCUGGAAUGCCUGAAGGAUCACAUCACAGAGGAUGUCAUGAAGGAACUCGCAUCAGCAUAAGUAACCUGGGACCCGAUUCACAAAGCCUUUCCUCAAAGAAAAGUGACAAAAAAAAUCAGUGACAAAUCUGCUGAUAUCCAAUCACAAACAAGGAUUUUAGUAGCUUAUAACAAAAACUGUCAUUGGUCACUGAUGAAAAGUUCUGUCAAACGCCUCUCUGGACCCUUCGGACAAUUGUUUAUAUUUUUUAAAGGUGAAAUAAUGCCUGUGCAAUAAAUUCUCUUAUCAAUUACAAAUGACAGAAAUCAGUGACAAAUCUGCUGAUAACCAAUCAGAAGCAAGGAUUUCAGUAGCUUAUAACAAAUACUGUUAUUGUUCACUGAUGACAAGUUUUGUGAAACGCCCCCGCUUGACCCUUCGGACAAUGUUUGUAUUUCUUGAAGAUGAAAUAAAGCCUGUGCAAUGAAUUCUCUAAAAGUCUUUGUGAUGACUGGAUAAACAUUGCCGAUAAGCGGCCCUACAUUGCAUGAAUUCCUGAGAUAAUUUGUCGAUUAUUUAAUGUUAACUGACUGCUAAGAAAGCAUUUGGAUGUGUAUACUGUAGUGGUAUAAGCUGUUCUUAUCAAAUUCCAGUAAAUAAUUGUGGCAAUGUGAUUUAUUUCUGAACGAUAAAAGUCAUAUCCUCUUGAUCCAUUUCUAAGAGUCUUUUAGAUUAAUCAACAAAUUUCGAGACGAAAAAACUAUAUCUAUCAAGAAUAAAUUAUAUUUUCACAAUCAUUUCAUGAAUAGAAGAAAGAAAAGUUGUUUCAACUUUAUUGACAACAGUUUAUUCAUGUAUACAUGCAUACAUUUAUAAUUCCCAAGAAUU